rnacentral:rRNA from 1 species
CAGCCGCCGCGGUAAUACAGAGGUCUCAAGCGUUGUUCGGAAUUACUGGGCGUAAAGCGUGCGUAGGCGGCGAGGUAAGUCAGAUGUGAAAUGCCGGGGCUCAACCCCGGAACUGCAUCCGAUACUGCCUGCCUCGAGUAGUGGAGGGGAGUCUGGAAUUCACGGUGUAGCAGUGAAAUGCGUAGAUAUCGUGAGGAACACUAGUGGCGAAGGCGAGACUCUGGACACUUACUGACGCUGAGGCACGAAGGCCAGGGUAGCGAAAGGGAUUAGAUACCCCUGUAGUCCUGGCAGUAAACGGUGCACGUUUGGUGUGGGAGGAUUCGACCCCUUCCGUGCCGGAGCUAACGCGUUAAACGUGCCGCCUGGGGAGUACGGUCGCAAGAUUAAAACUCAAAGAAAUUGACGGGGACCCGCACAAGCGGUGGAGUAUGUGGCUUAAUUCGAUGCAACGCGAAGAACCUUACCUGGGCUUGACAUGCUUGUCAUAGUCCCGCGAAAGCGGGACGUCAGUUCGGCUGGACUUGCACAGGUGCUGCAUGGCUGUCGUCAGCUCGUGUCGUGAGAUGUUGGGUUAAGUCCCGCAACGAGCGCAACCCCUGUGAACAGUUGCCAGCGGAUAAUGCCGGGGACUCUGUUCAGACUGCCCAGAUCAACUGGGAGGAAGGUGGGGACGACGUCAAGUCAGUAUGGCCCUUAUGCCCAGGGCUGCACACGUACUACAAUGCCCAGUACAAUGUGAACCGAUACCGCGAGGUGGAGGAAAUCCCAAAAACUGGGCUCAGUUCGGAUUGGAGGCUGCAACUCGCCUCCAUGAAGCCGGAAUCGCUAGUAAUGGCGCAUCAGCUACGGCGCCGUGAAUACGUUCCCGGGUCUUGUACACACCGCCCGUCACAUCAUGGAAGCCGGUCGUGCCCGAAGUGUCCGUGCCAACCGCAAGGAGGCAGGGCCCUAAGGUAUAACUGGUAACUGGGAUGAAGUCGUAACAAGGUAACCGUA